rnacentral:rRNA from 1 species
GGUGAACGUUGGCGGUGCGUCUAAUACAUGCAAGUCGAGCGAGGCUUCGAGCCGAGCGGCGGACGGCUGAGUAACACGUUGGUAGCUACCCCCCACUCAGGGAUAACGUCGAGAAAUUGGCGCUAAUACCGGAUAGUCCCGUAAGGGUAAAGAUCUAUCGGUGGGGGAGGUGCCUGCGGCCUAUCAGCUAGUUGGUGAGGUAAUGGCUCACCAAGGCUAUGACGGGUAACUGGUCUGAGAGGAUGAUCAGUCAGAGGGAAACUGAGACACGGUUCCC